GUGACAUCAGCGGUCAUGGAGAGUCUCCAUCCAGCUGGAUCACUGUCACAGACAAACACACCACCACACCUCCACCUACAUCCACAACUCCGGCUUCAUCCACUUCUCCUCCAUCACUGUCCUCCACUGCUCUCUCUGUGUUGUCAUUUCUUAAAUCGAUCUGUGGGUUCUUACUGGUGUUACUGGUUCUGUUAGGGAGACCAUGUGUUCACAGGAAAACUGAAGUUAAUGGAGGAGACGUUAGUGAUGACAUCACGUACAGUCACAGAAAAUCGCAAGUCAUCAACAACAGCCAAUCAGAGGAAGCAGAGAGAGUGAUCCUGUUCCCGUCCACUCAGCCCUGAGAACUGAAGACAUCAUUUAUGGACAAACAGCUGUCAGAACAAACAGGCCCCGAGGUACAGCUGCUCUUUAUCCACUAAAAGCAGAAUAAUUCUUAUUUCAGAAUAUCACUGGUGUCAUGUUAUGAAUUAUAACUGUUACAUACUACAGUAAUGCUUUAUUGUCAUCAAGAAUUCUGACUUUAUGUUUACUGUGCAGGACAGAAGAAACGAGAUGUAUUUUGUACAUUUGUGUCAUGAUUAUUUUUAUUGAAAUGAUCUCAUGAGAAAUGUGUCCAAACCCUUUCACUGGUAUGGUCUGAAUUUAAAAUGUUCAAAGUACAAAAGUACAAAAGUAUAGGAUCAGCAGAAUUUGCCCCAAGAAUGAAAGUAAAACUAGAGCUUAUGACUUAUAUCUGAUUUUAUCCUACUGUACAUUACAUUACUGUUCCUUGUAUUCAUGAAGGGAACAUGUCCACAACAGUCUUUAGUCUGUCCAUGAGACAACUACUACUAUUUUCAUAGAAGAGCUUCUUUUUUUUUUUACAAAGCAGUUUCUCUAAGUUUUUUUUUUCCACACAGACAUAUUUUAAACUCCUGAUGUGACAUCAUAACAGCUCUGCUUGGUGUUUCAUGUAUCCUCUGCAAAAAUGAGGCUCUUUAAUGUGAUGUAGGGUUUGUCUCUUUUGUUUAAUAGAAGUGAGCAUGAAGAUUAUUAAGUUGUUUUCCUUUGCCUCUGUUUCUUUUUAUAAAUAGUUGAAUAUCAUAAACUAUACAACAGCAUGUGACAGAUCUGACAAACUCAGCAGGUCAAUUGUAAAAAUCACUUUUAUAAAGAUGAAAUCACAUCAGCAGCAUCCUCCACCUGUAAGCUGUAAACAUCUUGUAAACUGUAUGAACAUAGGGAGAUUUGUCCUCUCAGUAAUUGAUUUUAGUAAGUUUAUUUCGCAUUUUGUAGUUAACAUUUUUUUGUGCGGCUGUUUUGGCUGUUAAUAGGUUAAACUUGACCUUAUAGUUGGGUGUGUGAUAGAGAGCGAAUUGAAAUCACUUUCAUGUCAAAAAUAUUGUCAGGUGCAGGUGCUGUGCAAUAUAAUACUUUACACUUUUUAUUUAUUAUUUAAUCCUUCACAUUUACGUCAUACUUACUUCAUGCUUAAUACUGAAACUUCUUUAAAUUCCUCCCAAAUUUAGAGCUGAUCUGUUUAACUUUAAACUGAACUCACACAUAUACUGUCUGUAUACAGUGUAACUAAAAGUAACUAAAAUAUAAAUGUAAUGCAUUGUUUUGAAUGUCCUCUGUAGCUUUGCUCUUUGUGUGGCACCGUGCAGUUGAUUCUACAGUGUUGUCCUGCUUUCUCUGCAGCAUUAAUAAACUUUGCUGUCACAUGUU